GCCCAGGAGGUCAAGGCUGCAGUGAGCCAUGAUUAAGGGUGGCAUCUUUUCAUCAGCACAGUGAUGAACUGAUCGUGCAAAACCAAUCCCGAAGGACUUUACUUGGAAACCUUACAC